rnacentral:sRNA from 1 species
CAUUAAAAAAAGACCGAAUACGAUUCCUGUAUCCGGUCUAGGGAAAUGGCUCUAGGGAAAGAGCCGUGCGCUAAAAGUUGGCAUUGUUCAAUCUGUACUAGCUUACCGUUCAAGCAUAGACAACCCUCACUGGUUUGCCAGUUU